AUUUGAAAACUUCUUAUUUUUGGAUUUUGUUCGUACUUUUCCCUUUUCCCUUGGAAACAAUAAAAGCGCGGUGGCGACUCUUGUUUACUUGAUGUCUAGCUUAUCCAUAGCUUGAUGAUCAUGAAUUUACCGCUACAAAUAUCAACUUGCAUUUGUUGUUCAUAUCAACUUGCAGUAUAAUGCAAUUCUGCAAAGCAUCACAACAAAGCCAAAGCAGAC
rnacentral:lncRNA from 1 species